GAUGAACUCUGGCGGCGUGCUUAACACAUGCAAGUCGUGCGAUGAAGUUUCCUUCGGGAAACGGAUUAGCGGCGGACGGGUGAGUAACACGUGGGUAACCUGCCUCAUAGAGUGGAAUAGCCUUCCGAAAGGAAGAUUAAUACCGCAUAACGUUGAAAGAUGGCAUCAUCAUUCAACCAAAGGAGCAAUCCGCUAUGAGAUGGACCCGCGGCGCAUUAGCCAGUUGGGGGGGUAACGGCCUACCAAGGCGACGAUGCGUAGCCGACCUGAGAGGGUGAUCGGCCACAUUGGGACUGAGACACGGCCCAGACUCCUACGGGAGGCAGCAGUGGGGAAUAUUGCACAAUGGGGGAAACCCUGAUGCAGCAACGCCGCGUGAGUGAUGAAGGUUUUCGGAUCGUAAAGCUCUGUCUUUGGGGAAGAUAAUGACGGUACUCAAGGAGGAAGCCACGGCUAACUACGUGCCAGCCGCCGCAGUAA
rnacentral:rRNA from 1 species